ensembl:lncRNA
UUUUUUUUUUUUUUUUCUUUUACAUGGCUGCACUUGUAGCAUCUGGAAGUUCCCAGGCUAGGGGACGAAUCAGAGCUGCAGCUUCCAGCCUACACCACAGCCACAGAAACGCAGAUCGGAGCUGCUUGUGGCAAUUCUGGAUCCUUAACCCACUGAGCAAGACUAGGGAUCGAACCCGCAUCCUCCCGGACACUAUCUUGGGUUCUUAACCUGAUAAGCCACAACAGGAACUUGGAAAAAGACCGGUUUUGAUAGAGGCAUGUUUUUUUGGCCAGAGCCCUGGGCCAAGGCUCUGAGUCUAAGCAGGGAACUCAAUGUAGUUUAUUAUCUACAUCUUUGAUCUUAUCAGCCUCUGAAAACAAAGCAGUGAACUUGUAUGUUCAAGGCAGUGGAGAAACAGAUACUCAGGUGCCCCGUUGUGCUCACGUCCACCACCAAGCCUUCCGCCUGGCACCCCUGCCCUCUCAAGAGUCCAGUUUCUCGGGGGCACCUCUGGGUCUGCCCACCUGGAACUGUCUCUCUCCCACUUCACUCACCUAAUACCCUAUCCAUUUACUACCUGCGGCGCCACGAGAACGUUAUUUAACUUCUCUGUGCCUCAGUUGCAUUUUCUCUGAGAAGGACAAAAUAAUUGUCCUUAAGGCAGAAGCACGGUGAGGGUUAUACGAGCGAAGUGCUUGGGCCCUGGCAGGUAGCCUGCAUGUGAUAAAGGUCAGCUGUGGUCACAGGAAAUGUCACCCAUGCUUCACGUGUCAGGUUCCUCCAAUAAACCUCUCCUGAUGCUCUUACUCAGGUCACGUGCCCUGCUGGGCGUUCACGUAGCACACGGUAUGGGAUCCGUGUAUUAGUUUCAGGGACCACCUCCCACGUCUUCAAGAAUACACCUCCCAGAUUCUUGGUGUAGCCUCAGGACACACCCACAAACAAGACCAGCCAUGAAUAAACUCCCAAAGCCCUGGGCACAAUUAUUGAUCCAGUGAUAGGCAAGGACCAAAAAGAACCCUUUGACCAAUUGAGGGGGUUGCUAUGGCAACUGGGAGAAAGAGGAGUUCUCUUUUUAUGGCAUCUCGUGUACCAUCUCGGUGCGGCCCUGGUCCAGCCAUCCACCACUGUGUGCUAGAGGUACCAGGAGCUGAGCCAUCUUUGCCAGUCAGAGAGCCUGCCUGCAAGGGAAGAUGAUGCAGCAGAAAGCAAAGGUCAGAGAGAGAGAGAGAGAGAGAGAGAGAGAGAGAGGCAGGGACCUGAGGUUGAUGAGGACAGAGACUGAACUGCAUUGUUGAAACCCCAGAUUCAGCCAAGCCUGAAUCCAGGGCUUUUGUGCAGUCGGUCAAUAGCCUCUUUUUCCUUCAACUAGCUUGAUGUCUCUCUCUUGUUGUUAAGAGUCCUGAUUAACACACAUACUUCCCCAUUCACAAUGCCUAGCACAUUUCACCCUCGCUAACUGUGUGCUACCUUCCCCCAGCGAGGCUGAGAGUCCAUCACGGCGCGGCCCUGGUCCAGCCGUCCACCACUGUGUGCUAAGCAGGGUGCCUGCCCAGAGGAGGCAUUCACACAUUUGUUAAGUGAUGAAUGAUGGAUGACCAGAGGGGAUUCCAGAGGAGACACACAGAUCCCACACGAAGCACUGAUGGAAUGGAUAAAGCCCCCCAGCUUUUCUCAACUCCUCCCCCACCGGAUACAGAUUAGAAAUCUUAAGACCCUCAGACAGCUCAUCAUUUCAGAGUCUCCCAUUCCCUUCAUUGUUUAGAGAAACUGAUGCUCUGAGGUUGUGGCAGUUUGAAGAUCAGGGGCCCCAGUCCCAAGAUAUUCGGCUCUACUCGGGAGAGAUGCGGGUAUUUCUGGGGAGGUGCUCUUCGGCCCAUUGUCAUCAUCUCACCAGACCGUCAGCUUUUUGAAAACUCCCAAAGAUAAAUCCUGGUAUUCUCAUUCACCAGUUCCCCCAGACAGUAGGAGACGGAGGAUAAGCCGUCAUGACUUCUUUCUUGAAGAUUGUUUUUUCGCGCAGGUCACAAGCAACCGUAACGUUAAAUGGUCAAAGACAGAAACCAUAGCCACUUCUCUGUGUUUAUCGAGAAUCACUCAAUGGCAGGGAAUCCAUACCUGAUUCAAGCAACUGAAGGAAAUCAGUUAGCUUUAUUGUUAACUGCAGACUUGAGGACUGGCCAGAUGUACGUAUGGCUGGAGCCAGGUCCUCGAAGUGUGUCUCAUUCUCUCCACCGCAGAGUUUUCUUGAUGAAAACUGGGCUAAAGGAUGCAGUCUGAGCAAACUGGCUAUAGAGAAACGCUCUGCCUCUUCAAUGCCGACCUUGAACCAGACUGGUGGACUUUGCCCCUUAGGCUGAGUUGUUCUCCAGAAGCUUCCUCAGGCUCCCCUGCCAACCCUCUUCAGGCAGCCCAGCCCCACCCGCUCCACUAGAUCAAGCUUGAUAACAGCAUAGCAUAAAGCCAGGACCACUGCCGUGCUUGUCUGACAAAGAAUAUUUUUAUCUUACUAGAUUUCCUAUGUAAGGGUCACCAGACAGGUUCAUUCAUUAGUUAUCCUGAAGAGCAUAGGUUGGCUGGGAGGUGUUUGAAUUGGUUGCCACAAAGAGCAAAGCAGUACACAUUUCUUCUGUCAAAAUAUUCUUUCUCUGGGAGACAGAGGUGCGUUGAUUUGCUUAUCUCUGUUCCUAUAAAACUCUUAAGUGUUUAAACUUCUGUGCAUAAAAUGUUGAUGAAACCGUCAAAAGAACUGCUGACCUGCGCAUUGACUAUGGGGAGCAUUGUUUCAAGUGAAGGAGAAAAUACCUCCAUUGACUCUACAGAGACUGAUGUGUUUGCGGUGUCUGCUGACCAUUCCUCCGUCCCGAAGAUUCCUUCCCAGUCAUGGGCCAUGUUGCCAGUCCAAAGGCAGAGUUAGUUGCCCAUAGCUGCUGGCAGAUGCAAUGACACUGCAGCAGGCCGUCACCCUUGGUCGCCCUUGAUGAGUACAUGAGCUGCGGCCAGAUUUCCGUUCCCUCACCUCACAAGCACGCCCCUGUCCUGCCUUCUGACACCUGUCACCACUGCCCCUCAUCUGUGCAUCCUUCCUCCCACUCCUUUCCAGCAAUGAUUUCCAUCCGCCCAUCGCAAAGAAUCACUCAAGAAAGAGCAACGCAGGGGCCUUCUUCUCCAACACUUGUACAUUUCCUCACGGUGAGCUGGCCUUCCAGACAGGCAGCAGCGUGCUGCCAACGCAGGAGAGCACGUAGGUAGCCUGGAAACCUUGUUUACCUCUUGCAGUCACGACACCCUUGUUUUCCCGGUGCCGAAACUCACGCAGAGACAAAGCACCAAGGUCCAAAGCAAACAUUUGUCAGAUGAAACCAAUGACAAUUGAAAAAAAAAAAAAAAAACCCAGAAGACAUUCAUUCUGCGAGGAGGACCGUCGGGUUG